GGUGGAGCCGAUGAACCAGACUUGUAGUAGGUAAGCGAUGGGGUGACGCAGGAAGGUAGUCCAGCCCGGGCGGUGGUUGUCCCGGGGUAAGGGUGUAGGCCGUGUGGUAGGUAAAUCCGUCACACGUUAAGGCUGAGACCUGAUGCCGAGCCGAUUGUGGUGAAGUGGAUGAUCCUAUGCUGUCGAGAAAAGCCUCUAGCGAGUUUCAUGGCGGCCCGUACCCUAAACCGACUCAGGUAGUCAGGUAGAGAAUACCGAGGCGUUCGGGUGAACUAUGGUUAAGGAACUCGGCAAAAUGCCCCCGUAACUUCGGGAGAAGGGGGGCCAUCACUGGUGAUUGGAUUUACUCCAUGAGCUGGGGGUGGCCGCAGAGACCAGCGAGAAGCGACUGUUUACUAAAAACACAGGUCCGUGCGAAGCCGUAAGGCGAUGUAUACGGACUGACGCCUGCCCGGUGCUGGAACGUUAAGGGGACCGGUUAGUGCACUUUCGGGUGUGCGAAGCUGAGAACUUAAGCGCCAGUAAACGGCGGUGGUAACUAUAACCAUCCUAAGGUAGCGAAAUUCCUUGUCGGGUAAGUUCCGACCUGCACGAAUGGCGUAACGACUUCUCGACUGUCUCAACCAUAGGCCCGGUGAAAUUGCACUACGAGUAAAGAUGCUCGUUUCGCGCAGCAGGACGGAAAGACCCCGGGACCUUUACUAUAGUUUGAUAUUGGUGUUCGGUUCGGCUUGUGUAGGAUAGGUGGGAGACUUUGAAGCGGCCACGCCAGUGGUUGUGGAGUCGCCGUUGAAAUACCACUCUGGUCGUGCUGGAUGUCUAACCUGGGUCCGUGAUCCGGAUCAGGGACAGUGUCUGAUGGGUAGUUUAACUGGGGCGGUUGCCUCCUAAAGAGUAACGGAGGCGCCCAAAGGUUCCCUCAGCCUGGUUGGCAAUCAGGUGUUGAGUGUAAGUGCACAAGGGAGCUUGACUGUGAGACCGACGGGUCGAGCAGGGACGAAAGUCGGGACUAGUGAUCCGGCAGUGGCUUGUGGAAGCGCUGUCGCUCAACGGAUAAAAGGUACCCCGGGGAUAACAGGCUGAUCUUCCCCAAGAGUCCAUAUCGACGGGAUGGUUUGGCACCUCGAUGUCGGCUCGUCGCAUCCUGGGGCUGG
rnacentral:rRNA from 1 species